GCUUCUGCAAAGUCUCCAACACUACAGUAUCUCACCGUUACAGCAUUUUGCCGAAUUAUUGCCGUCCAAGUGUCUUUUACACUCUUCAUACGUCAUCUACAGCUUCCUUUAUUCUUCUUUUACCGUGGGCUUUUAUGUAGACUUCGUUACAAUUUUGGUUCUUUUGAGUUAUUUUUGGCUGUAUAUAACUCUGUUUUGUAUCACUACUCUUCUUUACAUCUAAUAAAGCUGCUCAUCAGUUAAAAAAAAAAAGAAAAGAAGCAUUGAUCAGAAUA
rnacentral:lncRNA from 1 species